UACGUAAGGAGCAAGCGUUGUCCGGAAUCAUUGGGCGUAAAGGGCUUGUAGGUGGUUUGUCACGUCUGUCGUGAAAUCCUGUGGCUUAACCAUGGACUUGCGGUGGGUACGGGCAGGCUAGAGUGCGGUAGGGGAGGGUGGAAUUCCUGGUGUAGCGGUGAAAUGCGUAGAUAUCAGGAGGAACACCGGUGGCGAAGGCGGCUCCCUGGGCCGUUACUGACACUGAGGAGCGAAAGCGUGGGGAGCAAACAGG
rnacentral:rRNA from 1 species